UACGAAGGGGGCUAGCGUUGUUCGGAAUUACUGGGCGUAAAGCGCGCGCAGGCGGCUCUUCAAGUCAGGGGUGAAAGCCCAGAGCUCAACUCUGGAACUGCCUUUGAGACUGAAGAGCUUGAGUACGGGAGAGGUGAGUGGAACUGCGAGUGUAGAGGUGAAAUUCGUAGAUAUUCGCAAGAACACCAGUGGCGAAGGCGGCUCACUGGCCCGAUACUGACGCUGAGGCACGAAAGCGUGGGGAGCAAACAGG
rnacentral:rRNA from 1 species